GAUGAACGCUGGCGGCGUGCUUAACACACGCAAGUCGAACGAUUAACCCACCUUCGGGUGGUUAUAGAGUGGCGAACGGGUGAGUAACACGUGACCAACCUGCCUCUUACAUUGGGAUAACUCAAAGAAAUUUGUGCUAAUACCGAAUACUCCGAAUCUGUCGCAUGGCGGAUUCGGGAAAGCUCCGGCGGUAAGAGAUGGGGUCGCGGCCUAUUAGAUAGUUGGUGGGGUAAUGGCCUACCAAGUCAGCGAUAGGUAGCCGGGUUGAGAGACUGAUCGGCCACCUUGGGACGGAGAUACGGCCCAGACUCCUACGGGAGGCAGUAGUGGGGAAUUUUGCGCAAUGGGCGGAAGCCUGACGCAGCAACGCCGCGUGGGGGAUGACGGCCUUCGGGUUGUAAACCGCUUUCAGUAGGGAAGAAGCGAAAGUGACGGUACCUGCAGAAAAAGCACCGGCUAACUACGUGCCAGCAGCCGCAGUAA
rnacentral:rRNA from 1 species